ACCUUCAAAAACUUCCUCCCAAACUUACUAUAAAUGGUAGCAACCAACAAAAGGCUAAUCUCCAUAAGCGUAAUAGAAAAAUAACACAAUUUGGUAUCUUAGUCUCUCCCGUUCAUAAGCUAAUAGCAACAUAAAAUUUACAUAACCACUCACCAAAUAACGAAAUCGUGCAAUGAGUACUUCCAUCUUUGACUUUCAAUUAUUGUCAAGUUUUUAUAUUGGAAUUGUAUUUUCAUGCAAUUGCUGCUUUUUCUGAUUUAACUUUCUAAGUCUAACACAGUCCAGAUAAUGUUCAGUUGCUUCUAUUCUCAAAUAGGUACAUUGAUAUUUUAAGCGGAAAAAAAAAAAAAAA
rnacentral:misc_RNA from 1 species